AUUGAACGCUGGCGGCAUGCCUUACACAUGCAAGUCGAACGGCAGCACGGGGCAACCUGGUGGCGAGUGGCGAACGGGUGAGUAAUGCAUCGGAACGUGCCAUUGAGUGGGGGAUAACGUAGCGAAAGUUGCGCUAAUACCGCAUAUUCUGUGAGCAGGAAAGCAGGGGACCGCAAGGCCUUGCGCUCUUUGAGCGGCCGAUGUCAGAUUAGCUAGUUGGUGAGGUAACGGCUUACCAAGGCGACGAUCUGUAGCGGGUCUGAGAGGAUGAUCCGCCACACUGGAACUGAGACACGGUCCAGACUCCUACGGGAGGCAGCAGUGGGGAAUUUUGGACAAUGGGGGGCAACCCUGAUCCAGCCAUGCCGCGUGAGUGAAGAAGGCCUUCGGUUGUAAGACCUUUCGGCCGGGAACGGAAAUACGCAUGGUUAAGUACCCUCGUGCGGA
rnacentral:rRNA from 1 species